UGGAGAGGUGGUCGAGUGGUUUAUGGCUCUGGUCUUGAAAACCAGCGUGUCUUCACGGGCACCGUGGGUUCGAAUCCCACCCUCUCCGU
rnacentral:tRNA from 1 species